UCUCUCUCCGCUAAUGACAGUACAGCAGAAGGAAAAAUCAUGUUCAAAGAAAACCGUCAACAUCGGAAUACCGAACCGAACGGCAAAGCAAAAAGAGAGUUACCGUGCGGUGAAAGCGGAAGGACGAUACGUCGGAGGCGACGUCGGUGGUUGUCGGCGACGUUUGAAGUGGAGAGAUCCGUGUAGGCGGUGUCCCGAAGAUUUAGGGUUUCGGAUUGUUGUAUGGUAAAGUAAAACAGGUAUCUGCCAACAUCCUUUCGGUGAACUCAGUUUGCAUUAGCUUUUUUGAUGCUUGGAUUCAGAACGUAAAUGGUUGCAAUGUGAGGAGCUUUGGUUUUCACGUGACUUCAUGUGUGUUUUGAACCGUACCAAGAACCACUUCUGCACUCAACUGAUCGGUCAGCUUUGAAACAAACCGGCUCUCAACAGGAAGCUGCUGGUUUAUGAGAAAGAGGUAAUAUUGUAACUCACCGUGGCCAGUAACAACUAUUCCCUCGCCAUAAGAAUCGUAUUGGGGCCUUCCAGCACGACCCAACAUUUGCAUAACGUUGAGAGGACUCAAUUCAAACCAGACCCCUCUUUCAGGAUUGUAAAUCUGUGUCCCUUUAAUUAUCACUGUAUGGGCAGGAAGACUCACACCCCAGGCAAGGGUAGCAGUGGAUACCAAAACUUGUGCAUGUCCAUCAGCAAAUAGAUCCUCAACAAGUUGUCGAUCUGUCCUUGUCAUACCAGUGUGAUGAAUAGCAAAACCAUACGGCAAAAGAUCUUUAAGGUCACUGCUUUUCACAAGAUCGGUGUGAGAAUGAAGAUAAAUUGUUGAAGAAGAUAGAUAGUAAUCCAACGCUGACAUUGGAAAUGGAAAGAUAGAAAAUUGGGAUUUUUGUUGUUUUGCAGCUGAGCUUGCACAAUAUCUUGUUCGUCCUUGAUAUUUUGCACUCCUGUUUGCGCCUCACAGAGAAUAUUCUCCCACAGCCUCAAUUUCCCAUAAGUGAUUCCAUGAUUAUUUCCAACAGAUGCCUUCAAAUCAUCCAUAGAACUCUCAAGAUGGUGAGUUCUGGUUUCUAGUUGUGUUAACUGUGCACUAACACCUUCUAGAACAUGAUGCAAAUUGUCCAUAUGUUUCUUCAUUGUUCGAUCUAACAAAAUUGCGGCAUCAACAACACUUUGGUCUUUUUCUACAGUCACCUUUGCAGGUUCAAAAGAAUCCAGAGAACUGUAUUUUUGGAGUUAGAAUCGGAGUUCCAAUUUUUCGUAAGCGAUGCACCGUAAUUGGAGGAAGAAUCAGGUAGUGAACGAAUCGGUUGAAAAUCGUAGCUAGGAAUGAUAUCAUCACUAUUGGUUCUGUUAUUGUGAGUAGAUGGAUUCAUUUCUUCGUGUUGUUGUUCAUCAUCAUCUUCAAGUACUUGUUGUUGGUAUCUCCAUUCUCAACUUGAUUAACAGCCGAACUGCCUUUGGCUUUCAUAAUGUUUGAUUUGGUUCUGGAUGCAGGAUAUUGACGGCAUGAUGCGUCACAUGUAUGUGGUGUGAGGUUACUGUCACGGUUGUUCUUCCGGCAGGGUCAUGGCAGGUUGUACAACGCUAACCAAACAGUACCGACGGCUACGAAGAAAAUAGAGCGCACAACCAAUGUGAUAUCGGCAUCAUCGGUAAAGAUUGCUCCGGGUAAAUUGUUUCUCUCAAAAACUUCAGCAAUCACCUUUGUAAUUAUCAAUGGAGUAGUUGGCGCACCCUUCCAGACAACCAUGUUACCGCCGACUAGUGCAAUUGUGGAGAUUGUUGAAGAUAUAUCCUCCGUAUUUCAAGGCCAUCACAACUUCUUCCAAGGAGGCAUUUCCAUCUUUGAGCCUCUUUACAGCGACAAGCGUACCGUCCGAAAGAAUUCCUUUGUAGACAAUACCGAAGCCGACUUUUCCUAAUAUGUUUUUGCUGCUGAAGUUGUGAGUAGCAAUUUGGAGUUCUCUUCAUUUCAACCCUUCAAGAACCAACUCCAAAAAUCUGAAACCAAGGACUAAUAAGCAAAGGCAUCUAAGGCUUAAACCAAACGCAAUGACCCCUUUUGUUAGCUUUGUUCUUCUUGAUGGUAAUGCAUCGUUAGUACUGUUUAAGUUCAUUGACAUAGGCAUGAGUUUCAUCCCAUGACAGUUUGCUUAAGGUGUUUUUGUUGUAUCAUGUGCUACCUUCGUUUUAGUGAGCUCAAUCUAGUACAUCUUUGUGCUUUCUGAUAUCA